CAGUCGUACCUAUGGGUAAUCAGCCUUUUGGGUGUGAUUUUGUGGAGCGUGAGGAGUUAAACGCCUUCGUGCCUGCAUAUUCGUGCACUUUGGGUGUACUUGCCCGUGUGUAAGUUAACAUCAAUUUCGAUCACUAUAAAAUGACUGGCGGAAUGUAGCUUCGAUUUCGGUUGAAGUGUUAUAGCCUCUGGUAGAUGUGGUAAUUGGGACUGAGGAUUGCAACGAAUAUCCUUUGGGCUAUCCGUCUGGCCUCUG
rnacentral:rRNA from 1 species